CAGAGACCCAACAAGGACAAGCGAUUGACCAGCUAGAUCUUGAAGGUCCAUCAACACCAUCAUAGCCACCUGCUUGAGAGCCACUCAGGAGCAGCAGGACCAACCCCCAUCAGUCUCAGGGAGGGGCCCAUUGGAUACCAUGGCUCAAACUUAGCUCAUUCGGCAUGGAAGCGAGGAAUGUUAGCCACUGAGCCUUCAUGUAGCGUUCUUACACUGGUGGGACGCUCUUCGAAAAGACACAAAUGCCUCAGAGAGAGCAGAGCAGGCGGACUGAAGCUCUGUCAGCAAAUAAAAUCGAAUCAGCCUGACUUGUGAUAUUUACUGGCUUGCAGCAACCCGACCGCAGGUAUGGACCUUGGCUACCAGUGCUUGGUCUAAGGACCGCUUUGCUGUGUGGCGUUCUUGUGGCUCUGGCUAACUGGUACCCAGGAGACGACGGGUCCAGCACAUCUCCAAGAGGACAUCCAAAUGGCCUACCGCCAAAACACCAAGAGGCAGUCACUUUAUUAGUGUUGCGGGGUUCAAAUUCAAAGCUAAAGGAACACAACCUCCCCCGCCCCACAUGGCUCAGAGGAAAAUAGAACGUGUAAGCACCGGGGAGUGCAUGGGGUCACCACGGAGAGUAUGGGGUCACUGGGAGCUGUGAUGAGGAUUGAAACAGCGCUGAAAGAUGGAUGAGCCUUGUCUCCUGUUAGUCCUGGGACCUCCUGUGUACGACAGUGUGUAGUGUUGGGGACCACAGUAGAAGAUCACACUCUGGGUUUUCUAUGAAGAAACACAGCAGGGUGAGCGUGGCUGGAAAGCAGCCACCCUCUUGCACCCAGUGCCUCUGGCCAGGGACCUGAGUCAGGUGUGAGAAGAGACGUGGUGUGUUCAUAGAGAGCACAGGUUCUCAGGAGCCCUCAAGACUGCUUGCCGACCGGAUUGCUUGCCAGUCUACAGAAUUCAUAAAAUAGUUUCACAUUCCUGUCAAAACUCCAGGACCUAACCAAAGGUCAGGCACACAAGAAGUAUUUAAUAAGUGCGGGAGAACAAACAGUAGAAUCAGAAUAAUGUUUAAUUCCCUGGAAGGUUGGCUGGUUUCUGGACUGGGGACCUCGUGCUACCUACUCUAACCUUACCCUGCCAUCUGCUGGACAUAUCAGGAAUUGCAACGUGGGAAGUAGAUGGUUUAUAGCUGUGCUCACAGGAUGCAUGAUAUUAUAGCAGAUGUGAGGCAUCAUCUGACACACAGCGAGGGCCUGGAAAAGAUCUGAAUAUGAUUUGAAGCUCCCUGGGGGCAGCCUCCACCUGCUCCUGUUCAUUCAGGACCUGCCCUGGCUGGAAGUUUUCAGAGGGGCUGUAUGGUGGCCUUACAUUCUUCCUGGUUUUCCUUCAUUUAAAGUAAAGACAGGACAAAGAGAAAAGAUCUCCAAGCCAGCCUUCUCUUUCUGUGAAAAGGAUGACUGUCAGCACCUAAGCUGGCCCCAUGUCCACUGAGCACUGUGGUAUGGCAAGAUCUGGUCCAGCCUGAUGCAGACCCCCCCCCUCUAGCCCCUCCACCUUCAUCCAACCUGAUGCAGACUCCCACCCCUUCACCCUCCAGUUGUUCUAGACCUCCGGGGUGGGGGCACCUGCAUGGCAUCCCUUCUCCUCACAGUCCCAGCUUCACUCCGUACAAGGUGACCAUCUGUACAGGAAGUGGGGACCCUCAGGGGGGUCUUGAGUUACAUAAUGGUGCAGGGCACAUGGCAGGCACAGUAUGUGGUUUUUGGUUUGGGGGUCACAUAUGCACUGGAGCAAUGUGUAGAGGGUGGGUUGCUGUACUGUGUUCCUGAGCAAGGCCAUGGCUCUAAGCCCCAUGUCACCUCAGAGCUGCACUGCCAACCAGAGAGAAGGCCCCUUGUCAUCAGUGUGCACACUCAUGUUUGCUGCUGUUUGACCCGCACAUCAGGGAUGUGCAGUAGGGGUGUUGUUUUUCUGCCUGAUGGCAGGUAAACUAGUCACAUCUAGGGAGGAGGUGGCAGGAGAGGGGCUAGAAGGCAGCAUCGACUUCACACGAGACUCUGGGCUCACGUAACUGCUGCUUUUCUUUUUCCUUCUUGCAUUUGUGUGCAAGAAAGAGAGAGAAAGAGAAAGAGAG